rnacentral:misc_RNA from 1 species
AACCAGCACUAAGAAGAUCAGCAGUUGCAUGCCGAGAUCUGCCUCCACUUUGACAGCCCUGCACAGGAAAAUAAUUAGAUAACAUAAAGAUUGCAUUUUGGAACUUUAGAAAGCAUAGGGCACUUAUCCUUCCUGUCACCAUGUAAUUAACUGAGAAAGCAAAUGAUAAAUUUAACUCUGAAUAAUUACCACAACAAGAUGAUCAUCCUCCUUGCAAACAGCUGAAAUCUCCUUCAAGAAUUUUGGAUUUUUCAACCAUCCUACUGGAGUCUUCAACAUGUAAGGAACGUUGAAUAUCUUCUCUGCAUGUACAUGCCCUUUCUUGAACUCCUCCACCAUCCUAACAUCCACAUAAACGUAACCAGACUCGAGAAGACCCUUAGCUGCCUUAACGUCAACAGUGACGACUUCAGCUUCUGAGCUUUUUAUCGAGAGCCCAUGCCAAGACCAGUUGAAUUUUGAUUCCAGAUCUGGUGGCUGUUUGCUGGGUUUGCCUUAGAAAACCAGCUGCUGGUAUAUGUGCGGGCUGAUUUAGAGCGGCAACUGCUGCUGUUUGUUGCACCCAUUCAUUUUCUAUGGGAAGACUACGGUGCACUGUCUUUAAA